AAUUGUCAUGAUUACAAAGUUGUUGAAUAAUAAUUCGAUUAAAAUAAUCAUGCGGGUCAUUCUGCAAUAACGAGUAUUAUUUACGAUUGUGGAACACGAGCCUUGAUUUCGCAGAAUAACAAAUUAGCGAUUUUAUCCAGCAGGCCAACAGAAACCACCGCAAUGAGUAAUCAUCAUGUUGUUUUUGAAAAAUAUGAAACAAAUUUUUCCACCGUUAAAAUAUAUCUUCGGAAAUUAAAAACAAAAAAUCUCUGUAGCAAUACUUUUUACCGACGGAUUUGCCGAGUUAUACAUUCGUUAGAAGAAUUGAUUAUGGAAAAAUUGAUGUUCAUGGUUGCGGUGACGUCAUGAACAUAAAUUGAUCAAUUAGAUCGAUUUUGCGAUUAAUUCUUUCCGUCUCGUAUUUAGCUAACCGUUGUCAGUCGCAGACUUGAUUCAGACGAAUACCGAUCGGCGGUCUGUCAAAGUACAGAGACGAAAAAAAGACGGACAUCAGGGAAAAAAUGAGUCGAAUUACACAAAUUCAAUCAAUGAUGCACCUGGAAUUCAUCGAAGCACAGUAACCAUGCGUCCUCUAUAAUGACCGAAGCUACAGGAGGAAUAGGAUCGAAAGGUUGAAGCUUCGUGCUGUGCGGGUCUCGAGUAACACCUUUUUUUACUUCAUGUAUUCUGCUGUGAACGUCCAGCAUAAAUUCGUUGAAAUGGACUCGUUUUUUGUUCUUUAUCUAGACAGAGAAAAACAAAUGAAAUAUUUUUAAGUCAUAUUGAAAUUAUUUAAUGAAAAAAACCCAUUUGUACUGCAUAUGGAAAGCCAUUUUGAAAAUGAUUAAAAACUAUUCUAUGAAAUUAGAAUAAAAAAUAACGAAAAUGA